rnacentral:lncRNA from 1 species
GAACCCACGCCACAGCAGCGACCCAAGCUGCAGCAGGGGCAACCCGGAUCGUCAACCCCAGAGCCACCAGGCAACUCCUUCACAUCUCUUCUUUUCUCUGCACUUUACAAAUGAGGAAACUGAGGCACAGGGGAAGCAACUCGCCCGGAACCACCGAAGUCAGUACGUGGAAGAACUGGGAUUCACACCGCGCUCUCCCACUGCACGCCGCUGCCGCUGCUGCUGCUGGGUCCAGAGAAGCAGGACAGCUCGCCCAGGUCACGACACUGAAUCAGAGGCUCAGAACCCAGGCUUCCUUACUCCCUGCCCUGGACACAGCCAGGCCUGACUUACCAACCAGCAGCUUCCCAGGCAUGACCUCAGAGGGCUGGUUCUGGGCCCAGCUCCACCAUUCAUCGCCGAGAAGAACCGCACCCCAUCUCUGAGCCUCGGUUUAUCAACUCUAAACCAUAAAGAGGAAAGACACUUGGCUGGCAGUGCUCACUUCUGGGGGGCCAGUGUCUCCAUCCGUCACUGCCACAAGCCUUUUACGAACAAAGAUGUGACAUUCUCCGUCCUAAAGUGACCUUGGAGAUGUCUGGGCUGCUCCCCCAAGGUGAGUGCCAGCACUCCUGGGGGAGCAGGGGGAGGAAGGUGAGGCUUAUCCGUGGUUGUCUCCCCCUGUGUUGUGGGAGCAGGAAAAGGAGCUUCUGGACCCCGAGCCCCUGAAUCACUGCUCUCUCCAGAGGCUUCUGCAAAUGAGCCUCAACACCCCCAGUGUUUUCCACCCAAACCAAGGAACUGAAGUUUUUGGAAUCAGACCGAGUGAGAAAGUCAUGAGUCCAAUCGCCUGGUCAUUUAAAGCCCAGAGAAGUACAGGAUCUUGCCUGAGGUCACACAGUCAGCCGAGACUGAGGCCUGAGCUCAUCUAACUCCCUAAGGUACCAAGGGUCGGUGACAGAGGCAGUGCUGUUCUCAGAUGGCCUCCGGCACCUCCCAGCUGACAUCAGCCACAACCUGCACCCACGGCCACCACCCCCCAGAUGGUACCAGAUCCUGGGCACCUGCGGGCUGAGGGCCUGGGCUGGGCUGAGCGCUGCAGGCCAGACAGGGAGGAGCCAGACACAGGCCUGGCCCUGAGGACUCACUGCCCCAUGGAGGAGGGGAGAAAAUGACCAAAAAGGAAAGGGGACUCCACUAAAGAUUGUGCUGUACACCAGGGACAGACAGCGGUAAGCAGAACACAUACGGUCCUGCCCUGUAGAGAAAUGUCCUUUUAAUGUCACGCCUAAGUGCAGGUGAUGAGUGCUUGGAAGGGAAAGCUCAGGGACAGCGAGUUCCCCUAACGGGCCAGGGGAUCUGGUCUGGGCAUUGGGGAAGCCUUCCAGAGGCGUUAACAUCCACAGAAACAGGAAUUCACCAGACUGGGGCUGGCCCGCCAUCGGGGGUGGCACUCCUAGCAGUGGCAUCUGUGAAGGGGAAGCCUCUUGGGAGGGAGGCAGCUGGGAACCUUCAAAUCACUAGGAGCAUCCCCCGUGGGAGGCAUGAUGGCCCUACCGUGAAAGGCAGACCCGGAGGAGCUGGCAGCCAGAGACCACACAGGUGCCUGCGAGGCACGAGAAGGAAUUGGAAUCUGAACCAAAAAGCAUCAGUCAGCCCUGGACGGCAACUGCAGCACGGGCAGUGUUUUCAAAAGAUCCCAUCAGCCACAGUGUCCUGUGAGAGCAGAGAGAGAAGCCCAGCGAGGAGGCCGCUGGCACAGUCUGGGGGCGGAUGACAGCUCAGACAUGGCAGAGAGAGGUGGGCCCUGCAGCUGGAAGGAGCACCCACACGCCCCUGUGCUGGUCCCGCUGGGGAGGUGACAGAGGGAGCAGGAGGGGUCAGGCUGACUCGGUCCUGGGGAUGGGCCCCUGGCUGGCUGCGGUCACCGGCACAGACACCUGACCCCCACGUUCUGUUGGGAGGCUGUUUGUGUUUUAAGGCCUGGAAGGGAAGAGACUGAGUAGGCGGUAGGGUGUGCGGUUCUGAGCUGAGAGGAGAGAGACGUGUUGUGGCAGAGAGAGAGCAGACGUCAAGGCCACGGUGAGGCGGUGCGAGAAAAGAGGACGGCGUAGAAAGAAAAGCAGGAUAAAGGGAAAAAGCCCUGGGGGAGGAGGACGAGCCAAAGGCCCGAGAGAAAGCCGCCGGAACAACAGAGCAGAGCCCCAAAGAGGGUUCGGACAUUAACGCUCCAGGCCUUCGCACAAACUCCUCUCUUGGGCCGCUCCCACGGCAUGUGGAGGUUCCCAUCAGAGCUGUAGCCACUGGCCUACACCAGAGCCACAGCAAUGCGGGAUCUGAGCCGCGUAUUCGACCUACACCACAGCUCACAGCAAUGCCAGAUCCUUAACCCACCGAGCAAGGCCAGGGAUCGAACCCUCAACCUCAUGGUUCCUAGUCAGAUUCGUUAACCACUGAGCCAUGAAGGGAACGCCUAAAAUCCUUCAUCCAACCAGCCCGUGCCUGCUCUUUCAAAGGACAGCCGGGUCCAGGGUCCUCCAGGAAGCAUCCUUAACCCUUCUGCUCUGAGGAGACGAGGUCCUCAGGCUUCCCCAAGCCUCCUGGGCAGGAGCCCGUGGUGGAGGCAGCAAAGCUUUAGAGCUGGACAGGCUGCCUCCAAAAGCCUCCGUCCCCUCAGCUGUCAGAGGGAAUCAGGACUCUGCGGGGAUUCUGUUUCCCCUCAAGAUCAAAUGAUAUAAAGCAUAUGAAACCUAUACUGGUAAUAGGACUCAAUAAAUAGAAGCCGCAGCUCUCUUUGCUCUCAGCAUGUUGUACUGAUGUCUUUUUUUGUCCAUUGCUCCUGAUGAGCUCCUUUACCAGACAGGGUUUUACCCAUCUCGGCCUCCCUGUGCCUUGGCAUGGAGCCUGGCAUAGGACCUGGCAUAGAGUCUGGCACAGAGCAUGGCAUACUGACAUCAGAGUGAAGGGAUGCUUGGCGGGGACAGGACUUCCUGCAGGAAGAGGGCUGGAGCCAGGCUCUCGGGUCCCAACAUGCUCCUCCCCCUCCAUGCAAUGGCAGGGCAGGGGCAGGGGGUGAGCUUGCCAUGGGGAGCUGGGGACCACGUCUCAGCUGAAUUUCGAGUCACAUAACCUCUUUGACCUUCAGGCAGCCCCAGCCCUGUCACUCUCCAUCUGAGCUGGCAAAAAGUGAAACCCAAGCCCUGCCACAGAGCUGUCCCCAGUGAGCCCAGGCCGGCCCCACCCAGGCCUGGCCUGCCUGCCCCGUGCCUGCUUGGGCAGAGCAGAGCUGCUGGCCUCCUCCAGCCUGAGGUCCCUGGUGAUGUCUCUUCCAGCCUGGGCAGGGCCCGCCCUGUGGGCAGAGCUCAGACUCCAGAGCUGGGCUGGAAUCCACCCCCCCCUCAACAUCAGUGGGGGAGUCUGGGGAGCUUGGGCAGGUUCUCCACUCUCUGGGCCUCGCUUUUCCUGCAGACGGGGGGCUGCCAGGUAAACCACUGUGAGCAUUAACUUCUCCCGUAAUUAGAGGACAUAGCUCGUAGAAGGUGCUUCCCAAGCGCCCCUGCCCUCCCUUACCUUGAACGAACAGUGCCCUGGGGCAGGAAACAUCUACACCACAUGCCGGAGGCCCGCGAUGCCCUCGCCACCCAGCCCUCUCGCACGGAGACUGCGGGCACAGCACGUCAGGUUUUACUCCCAUUUUACUUACAAGAAAACCACAUCUUAGAAACUUUCCGAGAACAAGCGACCUAGUGCAUGAGCUGUAGCGCCUCUGACCCGUCUGACCUUUAGGUUCACGGCAGCAGUUACAGCAGGAACACAGCCCAGUUCCAGGAGUUGGGCGUCCCCGCUUCUGAACUUGGCAUCAUCUCUUCUGCCAGCAAGGCUCGCGGCCUCUGGCGGCUCCUGCAGCUCACUGAGCCUCCUCAAAGUCCAGAGGGCGCUGUAACACACCAGCCAGACCCACAACUCAUUCCUGUGCUUCUAACCAGAGCCUGGCACCUAAAGUUUGUUGAGUGACUAAAUGAAUGAAUUCCCAACUCUUUAAAAAAAUCCAACUUGGGGAGUUCCAGUCAUGGUGCACCGGAAACGAAUCUGACUAGGAACCAUGAGGUUGUGGGUUCGAUCCCUGGCUUUGCUCAGGGGGUUAAGGAUCCGGCGUUGCUGUGAGCUGUGGUGUAGGUUGCAGAUGCGGCUCAGAUCUGGCGUUGCUGUGGCUCUGUGUAGGCUGGCAGCAACAGCUCCGAUUCGAGCCCUAGCCUGGGAACCUCCAAAUGCCGUGGGUGUGGCCCUAAAAAGACAA